rnacentral:rRNA from 1 species
GACGAACGCUGGCGGCGUGCCUAAUACAUGCAAGUCGAGCGAGCGGAACCAACAGAUUUACUUCGGUAAUGACGUUGGGAAAGCGAGCGGCGGAUGGGUGAGUAACACGUGGGGAACCUGCCCCUAAGUCUGGGAUACCAUUUGGAAACAGGUGCUAAUACCGGAUAAUAAAGCAGAUCGCAUGAUCAGCUUUUGAAAGGCGGCGUAAGCUGUCGCUAAGGGAUGGCCCCGCGGUGCAUUAGCUAGUUGGUAAGGUAACGGCUUACCAAGGCGACGAUGCAUAGCCGAGUUGAGAGACUGAUCGGCCACAUUGGGACUGAGACACGGCCCAAACUCCUACGGGAGGCAGCAGUAGGGAAUCUUCCACAAUGGACGCAAGUCUGAUGGAGCAACGCCGCGUGAGUGAAGAAGGUUUUCGGAUCGUAAAGCUCUGUUGUUGGUGAAGAAGGAUAGAGGUAGUAACUGGCCUUUAUUUGACGGUAAUCAACCAGAAAGUCACGGCUAACUACGUGCCAGCAGCCGCGGUAAUACGUAGGUGGCAAGCGUUGUCCGGAUUUAUUGGGCGUAAAGCGAGCGCAGGCGGAAAAAUAAGUCUAAUGUGAAAGCCCUCGGCUUAACCGAGGAACUGCAUCGGAAACUGUUUUUCUUGAGUGCAGAAGAGGAG